AGACCAUGGUGAGGACAUUUCCUAAGCAAUUCCUUAAAUCUCUCCCCACGAUUCAUAUAAGGAUUUGUUACCAAAUUAUGAAAAAGUUGUUAUGUCAUUUCUUAAUUU